rnacentral:rRNA from 1 species
UGAGGAAUCUUGCGCAAUGGGCGAAAGCCUGACGCAGCGACGCCGCGUGGAGGAUGAAGGUCUUCGGAUUGUAAACUUCUGUUAAGUGGGAAGAAAUGCGCCGUUCUAAUACAGCGGUGAGAUGACGGUACCAUUAGAGAAAGCACCGGCUAACUUCGUGCCAGCAGCCGCGGUAAUACGAAGGGUGCGAGCGUUAUUCGGAUUUAUUGGGCGUAAAGGGUGUGUAGGCGGUUUGCUAAGUCAACUGUUAAAUUUCUCGGCCCAACCGAGAGUCAGCAGUAGAUACUGGCAUUCUAGAGGGUGGAAGAGAGAAGUGGAAUUCUCGGAGUAGCGGUAAAAUGCGUAGAUCUCGAGAGGAACACCGAUGGCGAAGGCAGCUUCUUGGUCCACAACUGACGCUGAGGCACGAAAGCGUGGGGAGCAAACAGG